rnacentral:rRNA from 1 species
CCAAUAGCGUAUAUUAAAGUUGUUGCAGUUAAAAAGCUCGUAGUUGAAUUUCGGGGUCAGUAGGUCGGUCGUGCCACAGGUAUGCACUGGUCUCACAGAUUCCUCCUUCCUGAUGAACCGUAAUGCCAUUAAUUUGGUGUUGCGGGGAGACUGGACUGUUACUUUGAAAAAAUUAGAGUGUUUAAAGCAGGCUAACGCUUGAAUACAUUAGCAUGGAAUAACGGAAUAGGACGUUCGAUCUUAUUUUGUUGGUUUCUAAGAUUGACGUAAUGAUUAAUAGGGAUAGUUGGGGGCAUUAGUAUUCAAUUGUCAGAGGUGAAAUUCUUGGAUUUAUUGAAGACUAACUACUGCGAAAGCAUUUGCCAAGGAUGUUUUCAUUAAUCAAGAACGAAAGUUAGGGGAUCGAAGACGAUCAGAUACCGUCGUAGUCUUAACCAUAAACUAUGCCGACUAGGGAUCGGAUGAUGUUAAUUUUUUAAUGACUCAUUCGGCGCCUUACG